GAUGAACGCUGGCGGCGUGCCUAAUACAUGCAAGUCGAGCGAACAGACGAGGAGCUUGCUCCUCUGACGUUAGCGGCGGACAGGUGAGUAACACGUGGAUAACCUACCUAUAAGACUGGGAUAACUUCGGGAAACCGGAGCUAAUACCGGAUAAUAUAUUGAACCGCAUGGUUCAAUAGUGAAAGACGGUUUUGCUGUCACUUAUAGAUGGAUCCGCGCCGCAUUAGCUAGUUGGUAAGGUAACGGCUUACCCAGGCAACGAUGCGUAGCCGACCUGAGAGGGUGAUCGGCCACACUGGAACUGAGACACGGUCCAGACUCCUACGGGAGGCAGCAGUAGGGAAUCUUCCGCAAUGGGCGAAAGCCUGACGGAGCAACGCCGCGUGAGUGAUGAAGGUCUUCGGAUCGUAAAACUCUGUUAUUAGGGAAGAACAAAUGUGUAAGUAACUAUGCACGUCUUGACGGUACCUAAUCAGAAAGCCACGGCUAACUACGUG
rnacentral:rRNA from 1 species